CCUACGGGAGGCAGCAGUAAGGAAUAUUGGUCAAUGGGCGCAAGCCUGAACCAGCCAUGCCGCGUGCAGGAAGACGGCCCUAUGGGUUGUAAACUGCUUUUGAACAAGAGAAAACCUCGGUACGUGUACCGAGCUGAUAGUAUUGUUAGAAUAAGCAUCGGCUAACUUCGUGCCAGCAGCCGCGGUAAGACGAAGGAUGCAAGCGUUAUCCGGAUUCAUUGGGUUUAAAGGGUGCGUAGGCGGCCUGAUAAGUCAGUGGUGAAAUCUCUCAGCUUAACUGAGAAACUGCCAUUGAUACUGUCGGGCUUGAGUACAGAUGAUGUGGGCGGAAUAUGACAUGUAGUGGUGAAAUACUUAGAUAUGUCAUAGAACACCGAUUGCGAAGGCAGCUCACAAAACUGUAAACUGACGCUGAGGCACGAAAGUGCGGGGAUCAAACAGGAUUAGAUACCCUGGUAGUCCGCACCGUAAACGAUGAUUACUCGUUGUUGGCAAUAUGACCGUCAGCGACCAAGCGAAAGCGANAAGUAAUCCACCUGGGGAGUACGCCGGCGAACGGUGAAACGUCAAAGUGAAAGUUGACGG
rnacentral:rRNA from 1 species